UAGCUCAAAAUAAUUAGUAAAUGCAUGAAAAAUAACAAAUGAAGUCAGAAAGGAUUGAAAAAUGAUGAUGUGGCUUUGAAUGGUGCAUUUUGAACACACAAAAAGUCAGGAGUUCAAAUUAGGUUUAAAAAAUGAAAUCCCUUUGUAACACACGAGUUUCCGGAUGAAAUCCUGAUACUUUGAAAGAGAUUGUCCGUUUUGUACACGAAGUGCAUCCAGUUUUUGCCGUAACCCUCUCAACUUUCUUGCACAUGCUAUGUGGAUGAAAUGAUGAUAUCAUGCCAACUUUCAACCUUUUCAGAGUUCAUUUGAAAUGCUUUUCAAUUUUAGGGUCUUAUAGUUCAAAAUAAUUAGUAAAUGCAUGAAAAAUAACAAAUGAAGUCAGAAAGGAUUGAAAAAUGAUGAUGUGGCUUUGAAUGGUGCAUUUUGAACACACAAAAAGUCAGGAGUUCAAAUUAGGUUUAAAAAUGAAAUCCCUUUGUAACACACGAGUUUCCGGAUGAAAUUUAAACUAUUCAAAUUUGGAAACUAAUGGAUUAACAGAAAGUUUAUAAUUAUUCUGAGCUAAAAGCAAAAAGAAUAAAAAAAUAAAGCAAAAAUCAAAAGAAAAUAAAUAAUUCAAAAAACAAAAAAA
rnacentral:lncRNA from 1 species